rnacentral:rRNA from 1 species
CCUCCACCAGGCCAAGGAGCCGGCAUCAGACACAAUUCCAGUCCACAACGUCUAGUCUCACCACACCCCCAAGGGCAUUCAGCAGUGAUAAAUCUUGAGCAUAAGCGACAGCUUGACUCAGUCAGGGAAAAGAGAGCCGGCCAAUCUGGUGCCAGCCGCCGCGGCUACCCCAUGGGGCUCAAGUUGAUAGUCACCGGCGUUAAGCGUGAUUAAAGUCAAAUUAGAUUAGGGCCAAAUUAAUACUUAGUAGUCUAAAGCUCGUUAUUAAGAAGAACACAAACGAAAGUUGCCCUAACUUAUACACUUGAAUACACGACAGUUGGGGAACAAACUGGGAUUAGAUACCCCACUAUGCCCAACCGUAAACAAUUAACUUACACCAAUAAGCGCCAGGGAACUACGAGCAAUGCUUAAAACCCAAAGGAUUUGACGGUGUCCCACCCCACUAGAGGAGCCUGUUCUAUAAUCGAUGAUCCCCGAUAUACCCCACCACUCCUUGCUUAUCAGUCUGUAUACCUCCGUCGAAAGCUUACCGUAUGAACGUCUACAGUAGGCUCAAGGACCCGCACAGUGGGUCAAUACGUCAGGUCAAGGUGCAACUUAAGGAAUGGGAAGUAAUUGGCUACAAUUUCUAACUUAGAACAAACGAAAGACUAUGUGAAACCAUAGUAACGAAGGCGGAUUUAGCAGUAAAAAGAAAAUAGAGAGUUCUUUUUAACCCGGCUCUGGGACGCGUA